GAAACAUUUUCUUUGCAACGAUAUUCACAUGUCUUCUUUAUACACACAGUGACAGAGGACAUGGCUGGUCUGUGGACAGUACGAACAGUCGAACAACACAUUAUAAUGUGACACACUCGAGCAGCACAAGCACUAGAAGAAACAUUCUUAUUAGUGUUGUAAACUGUCGAACUGUCUGGCUAUGUUUGUUUCUUAAAAAUGUUAACACUUUGUGGAAUUAUUUAUGCCAAACUCA